rnacentral:rRNA from 1 species
CAGCAGCCACGGUAAAACGAAGGGGGCUAGCGUUGUUCGGAUUUACUGGGCGUAAAGCGCACGUAGGCGGAUCGAUCAGUCAGGGGUGAAAUCCCAGAGCUCAACUCUGGAACUGCCUUUGAUACUGUCGAUCUGGAGUAUGGAAGAGGUGAGUGGAAUUCCGAGUGUAGAGGUGAAAUUCGUAGAUAUUCGGAGGAACACCAGUGGCGAAGGCGGCUCACUGGUCCAUUACUGACGCUGAGGUGCGAAAGCGUGGGGAGCAAACAGGAUUAGAUACCCCCGUAGUCCCUGUCUCUUAUAC